UACGUAGGUGGCAAGCGUUGUCCGGAUUUACUGGGCGUAAAAGAGCGCGCAGGCGGUCGUUCAAGUCGCGUGUGAAAGCCCCCGGCUCAACUGGGGAGGGUCACGCGAUACUGAUCGACUCGAAGGCAGGAGAGGGUAGUGGAAUUCCCGGUGUAGUGGUGAAAUGCGUAGAUAUCGGGAGGAACACCAGUGGCGAAGGCGACUACCUGGCCUGUUCUUGACGCUGAGGCGCGAAAGCUAGGGGAGCAAACGGG
rnacentral:rRNA from 1 species